GGCGUAAGGAGAUAGCUCUCGUGUGCGGGCGAUUUAAGUGGCACGAAUGACAAAAGUCGUUCGUAAAUCGCCCGCACACGAGAGCUAUCCCCUUACGCC